AUUGAACGCUGGCGGCAUGCCUUACACAUGCAAGUCGAACGGCAGCACGGGGCAACCUGGUGGCGAGUGGCGAACGGGUGAGUAAUGCAUCGGAACGUGCCCGGAAGUGGGGGAUAACGUAGCGAAAGUUACGCUAAUACCGCAUAUUCUGUGAGCAGGAAAGCAGGGGAUCGCAAGACCUUGCGCUUUCGGAGCGGCCGAUGUCGGAUUAGCUAGUUGGUGAGGUAAAGGCUUACCAAGGCGACGAUCCGUAGCUGGUCUUAGAGGAUGAUCAGCCACACUGGGACUGAGACACAGCCCAGACUCCUACGGGAGGCAGCAGUGGGGAAUUUUGGACAAUGGGCGGAAGCCUGAUCCAGCCAUGCCGCGUGAGUGAAGAAGGCCUUCGGGUUGUAAAGCUCUUUCGGACAGAAAGAAAUCGCAUCGGCUAAUACUCGAUGUGGAUGACGGUACUGUCAUAAGAAGCACCGGCUAACUACGUGCCAGCCGCCGCCGUAACAC
rnacentral:rRNA from 1 species